rnacentral:rRNA from 1 species
CCUACGGGAGGCAGCAGUGAGGAAUAUUGGUCAAUGGACGCAAGUCUGAACCAGCCAUGCCGCGUGCAGGAAGACGGCUCUAUGAGUUGUAAACUGCUUUUGUACGAGGGUAAACUCAGAUACGCGUAUCUUUCUGAAAGUAUCGUACGAAUAAGGAUCGGCUAACUCCGUGCCAGCAGCCGCGGUAAUCCGGAGGAUUCAAGCGUUAUCCGGAUUUAUUGGGUUUAAAGGGUGCGUAGGCGGUCGGAUAAGUUAGAGGUGAAAUCCCGAGGCUCAACUUCGGAAUUGCCUCUGAUACUGUUCGGCUAGAGAGUAGUUGCGGUAGGCGGAAUGUAUGGUGUAGCGGUGAAAUGCUUAGAGAGCAUACAGAACACCGAUUGCGAAGGCAGCUUACCAAGCUACGUCUGACGUUGAGGCACGAAAGCGUGGGGAGCAAACAGGAUUAGAUACCCCAGUAGUC